rnacentral:rRNA from 1 species
CUCGGCAUUCCCUAGUACGGCGAGUGAACCGGGAAGAGCUCAAAUUUGAAAUCUGGCGUCCUCAGGGCGUCCGAGUUGUAAUCUAUAGAGGCGUUUUCCGUGCCGGACCGUGUCCAAGUUCCUUGGAACAGGAUAUCAAAGAGGGUGACAAUCCCGUACUUGACACGACGACCGGUGCUCUGUGAUACGUCUUCUACGAGUCGAGUUGUUUGGGAAUGCAGCUCAAAAUGGGUGGUGAGUUCCAUCUAAAGCUAAAUAUUGGCGAGAGACCGAUAGCGAACAAGUACCGUGAGGGAAAGAUGAAAAGCACUUUGGAAAGAGAGUUAAACAGUACGUGAAAUUGUUGAAAGGGAAACGAUUGAAGUCAGUCGUGACCGAGAGGCUCAGCCGGUUCUGCCGGUGUAUUCCCCUCGGUCGGGUCAACAUCAGUUUUGUCCGGUGGAUAAGGGCGGUAGGAAGGUGGCACCCUCGGGUGUGUUAUAGCCUGCCGUCGCAUACAUCGGGUGAGACUGAGGAACGCAGCUCGCCUUUAUGGCCGGGGUUCGCCCACGUCCGAGCUUAGGAUGUUGACAUAAUGGCUUUAAACGACCCGUCUUGAAACACSGGAACACAAA